rnacentral:rRNA from 1 species
ACUAAGCGUACACGGUGGAUGCCCUGGCAGUCAGAGGCGAUGAAGGACGUGCUAAUCUGCGAUAAGCGUCGGUAAGGUGAUAUGAACCGUUAUAACCGGCGAUUUCCGAAUGGGGAAACCCAGUGUGAUUCGUCACACUAUCAUUAACUGAAUCCAUAGGUUAAUGAGGCGAACCGGGGGAACUGAAACAUCUAAGUACCCCGAGGAAAAGAAAUCAACCGAGAUUCCCCCAGUAGCGGCGAGCGAACGGGGAGC